UGAGUAGGCCAAGUAAUCGCGUACAGUUUUGACUGUACGAGGAAAGUCCGAGCUCCAAAGAGCAGACUAACGGUUAACAACCGCCGAGGGCGACCUCAGGGAAAGUGCAACAGAAAUAUACCGCCCGGGUUUUACUCGGGUAAGGAUGAAAUGGCGAGGUAAGAGCUCACCGGCAUGUAGGAAACUGCAUGGCCAUGUAAACCCUAGUCGGAGCAACACCUGUUUGGUAAAAAAGCGCUUGCUCGGCGCAAGAAAAGGUGGCACUGAGCCAGUGUGGCGACACUUGGCCAAGAUAGAUGAUUACUCUCGACAGAAUUCGGCUUAUCGGUCUACUUACCAA
rnacentral:RNase_P_RNA from 1 species